UACGAAGGGUGCAAACGUUGCUCGGAAUUACUGGGCGUAAAGGGCGCGUAGGCGGCCUGUUAAGUCGAACGUGAAAUCCCCGGGCUCAACCCGGGAACUGCGUCCGAUACUGGCAGGCUUGAAUCCGGGAGAGGGAUGCGGAAUUCCAGGUGUAGCGGUGAAAUGCGUAGAUAUCUGGAGGAACACCGGUGGCGAAGGCGGCAUCCUGGACCGGCAUUGACGCUGAGGCGCGGACAGCGUGGGGACGCAAA
rnacentral:rRNA from 1 species